CCUACGGGUGGCAGCAGUGGGGAAUAUUGCACAAUGGGGGAAACCCUGAUGCAGCGACGCCGCGUGAGUGAAGAAGUCCUUCGUUAUGUAAAGCUCUAUCAGCAGGGAAGAAAAUGACGGUACCUGAGCAAGAAGCCCCGGCUAACUACGUGCCAGCAGCCGCGGUAAUACGUAGGGGGCAAGCGUUAUCCGGAUUUACUGGGUGUAAAGGGAGCGUAGAUGGCAGUGCAAGUCUGGAGUGAAAGGCGGGGGCUCAACCCCCGGACUGCUCUUGAUACUGUACGGCUUGAGUGCAGGAGAGGUAAGUGGAAUUCCUGGUGUAGCGGUGAAAUGCGUAGAUAUUAGGAGGAACACCAGUGGCGAAGGCGGCUUACUGGACUGUAACUGACGUUGAGGCUCGAAAGCGUGGGGAGCAAACAGGAUUAGAUACCCUAGUAGUC
rnacentral:rRNA from 1 species